rnacentral:rRNA from 1 species
GACGAACGCUGGCGGCGUGCCUAACACAUGCAAGUCGAGCGGACGGACGAGAGGUUGCUGUUUUUGAUCAUUGCCGCGGGGGUGUGAGUAACAUGAGCAUAACCCCCCUGUCACUCGGGUAUAAGCUCGAAACACCGUCUCUUACUGCGUACAAGAUUAAGAACCGCAUGUUUCAACAGGAAAAGACGGUCUUUCUGGCACUGAUAGAUGGAUCCGCGCUUCAUGAGCUAGUUGGUAAGGUAACGGCUUACCAAGGCAACGAUGCAUAGCCGACCUGAGAGGGUGAUAGGCCACACGGGAACUGAGACACGGUCCCGACUCCUGCGAGAGGCCGCAGUAGGGAAUCUUAGGCAAUGGGCGAAAGCCUGACGGAGCAACGCCGCGUGAGUGAUGGAGGCGUUGGGAUCGUAAAACUCUGUUAUUAGUGAUGAACAUAUGUGUAAGUAAAUGUGCAGAUAUUGACGGUACCUGCUGAAGAAGCCCCGGCUAACUACGUG